UGCUGGUGGCGCCGCUUUCAUUGCUGCAGCCCCCUUUGUUUUGGGGGCAGUGGGCUUCACCGCUGGUGGGAUAGUGGCCGGUUCUGUCGCUGCAAAGAUGAUGAGUGCUGCCGCUGCUGCCAGUGGAGGAGGUGUUGCAGCUGGAAGCAUGGUGGCUAUUCUUCAAUCGGCUGGAGCUGCAGGACUGUCUGCCGCUGCUAGUACAGCAGUUGGGGUUGGAGGUGCAUUAGUUGGUGCAGCGAUCGCAAUCUAAAGAGAAGAAUGGCCUAAAUAAAAUUGAACAAAUUACCGUUCUUAAAUUCUGAAAUUAAUAAAACUUACAUUGACUCAUC